rnacentral:misc_RNA from 1 species
AGCAGCCGCGGUAAUUCCAGCUCCAAUAGCGUAUAUUAAAGUUGUUGCAGUUAAAAAGCUCGUAGUUGAAUUUCGGGAUCAAUAUAUCGGUCGUGCCUUGGUACGUACUGGUAUCAUUGGUUUCUCCUUUCUGACGAACCAUGAUGUCAUUAAUUUGGUGUUAUGGGAAGUUAGGACUGUUACUUUGAAAAAAUUAGAGUGUUUAAAGCAGGCUUUGGCUUGAAUACAUUAGCAUGGAAUAAUGAAAUAGGACGUUCGAACCUAUUUUGUUGGUUUCUAGGAUCAACGUAAUGAUUAAUAGGGAUAGUUGGGGGCAUUAGUAUUCAAUUGUCAGAGGUGAAAUUCUUGGAUUUAUUGAAGACUAACUACUGCGAAAGCAUUUGCCAAGGAUGUUUUCAUUAAUCAAGAACGAAAGUUAGGGGAUCGAAGACGAUCAGAUACCGUCGUAGUCUUAACCAUAAACUAUGCCGACUAGGGAU